rnacentral:lncRNA from 1 species
UUUUGGUUUCAUUCUUUAAGUUCAGCAGAAACCCCCUAUUAUAUUCAUAUUCUACCAAAAUUAUAAUUCUCUUUGCCUCUUUAAUCACAUCUAUUGCAUGCACAUACACGGCAACAAUUGCGUGGACAGAAAAUAAACAUUUGGAGCGUGAUUCUUAGAUCUUCUUUCAAAAUUCGUGGAUUAACGAGGUAGGAUACUAUGUGCAAGUGAUAUGUCGUUGCAAUAUUAUGAUUUUUAUACGUGAUUUAUUUCAUGAAAUGCUAAUUGACUUGCGGGUCCCUAUGAAAUGAAAUGUGAGAUCGCCUUCGAGUCUUCUCAAAUGUGUUAGAGCUUUCGAUUGAUCACUGAUUGCUUUUGAUGAAAUGAUGGUAUGGAAUGUUAUAGAUUCAUAUUUUAAAAGUUAUCAAAUUGUUUUGGACGCACGUAUCGUACUGAAUAUAAAUUACGCACUUCUUCCAUUUUAACUUUUCAGGUCAGAUUGGUCAACGUGGAUGAUGGCUGAGUGGUGCGCAGGUAUCCAAGUAAAAGAAAUUAUUUUAGGAAUCCAUAAUAAAUUUGUUAGGGCAUUUUAUGUUUCUCUUCAAUUCCAUUCAUG